CGCUCAGAGGUGACCCCGCUGCCAGGGCUCCCCUCAGCCCCCUUCCGUAUCCCGAGGCGGUAAUGCGGCUCCUGCACUCCAGCAGCGCAUCGGCCCGUGCCAGCGCACCCGGGAACCACAACUGCGGCAGGAUUGAAGUGAUGUGGAGAGCCCUGCCUGCCCUGGUGGUACGGGGGCUGGAGUCAGGAGGCAAGGUGGAGCAAAGGAGGAGAAUAUUGCCUCAUCUUCUGCUCACAACAAGCCCAGGCCACUUGGCAUGGGAGCAGUAUGGGCAUAGCAGGGAGCAUGUGAAUCACCUUGGACGUGCAGGUUGUGUUCCCAGCUAAAUCAGAUAACCCUCUGUACUGUGCUGCAUUCACCAAUAACCUGUAAUACACAGGAAUGGAGAAAAAGUCAUCGUUUCACAAUCACAAACCCAGUAACAGAGAGCUGUUUAGAUGAUGAUCUGUGAUUUUUUAAAUUAAUGUGGUUCCACCAAGAAUGAGGGAUUUUUUCCCACUACCUUCAGUGAGAACAUAUUUUUUGUUAUGGUGUUGACCUGCCCAUAACAUAAUUGCAGUAGUCUUUGUUAGUUAUGAAACUCUUCUCCAUCUAAUCUAAACAUAAUGUAUGCAGUUUCAGAGGUUUCUUAAGCUGCAAACUCCUACUCAGCUGUUUUUCUGACUGGCAAUCAUAGCUCUACUGUGCUUUUAUAUUUGCACCCACUUUGUUUAAUUUUCUGUCAUUUUUAGUGUCAUUGGUUAUAUUUGUCAUUGUUUAUGUUCUCAUGUCCUUUCUUUCCCAUGAUGGGCUGCUGUUCAGAUCACUGUGGGCCUGACUGUGUGCAAGAUUGAGACACUCAGCAACUCCUCAUUUCCAUAGGUACUCAGCUCACUGGAAACAAUCAGUAAUUUUCAACAGCCUGCCUAAACAGUGAGAAAAAAUGCACCAAGGAUAAUAACUAAGCAAAUACAUUUUAAGUGAUAAAUGGGAAGAGAAGUUUCAUUUGACAAGUUAAGCAGAUGGAGCUAUGGCCAAUUUCUUUAAUCUACUGGUACAUGAGUGUUAUGUGUAAUUUUCAAGUAGUGUUUAGUUGUAGAUUAGGAAUUGGAAACAAUUCAGCUGUUCACAGCAAACCACUUUCUCUUGCUGUUUCCUAAUUUGGAAUAUUAUUCUGUGUUUCCAAGAUGGUAUUUAUCCCCUUAUUCUUCAGGUUUCUAUUAUGUUCAUGCAAGUAAUUUCAGAAGACACAUUCACUAGCUAACACCCAUCUCCUCUUGCACUUGCACACCACACAACAUUUAUAAUUAAGCCUCUUAGGAAGUUAGCUGCAUGGCCCUUGAUUAACUUCCCUUAAUUCUUCAUUGUUAAAGCUCAGUGCAAAGACCUCUGGGGUAAUCAGGCCACCUUUCCAACUGGAAAUGUAGCAUAUAAAUCAGUAUUCACUAAGAUACCAUCCCAGCAUGGAAAGUGAGUAUUGGUGCCUUUAUCACAGUCUAACAGGCCAUACAGGCUUAUCCAAAGCCAGUGUUUCCCAGCAGAUGAGGCAGAUAAAGCGGGUGAUCAGAGGCUGUUGACACAGGGCACAGCAUCUGUAAUUAAGUCACUAGGGAAGCUGGCAUGGAAUGCUGUGACAAAGAUAGGAUCCAAUUUACACACAGCUUUCAGCAAAUCUUAAAAUGCUGUCUGAGUAAAACCCAGACACUCCUGACUUACUGCAUGCUAGAAAUUUGUCAAAUAGUGUUGAGAAGAGGGGGGUAGAGGGUGCAUUGUUUGUCAGACACCUAAAUUGGAUAUAUUUUAGUGAUUUUAUGUUCCUGACUCUCUUUCCAUGUCACCCAAAUUCUGUGAAGAAGAGGUGUGUGUUUGUGUUGGAAGUGCUGUAAUGUUUGGCACAUGGAGACUUCUACCUGCUCACCAUGACUGGUAUUCCCUGUUCUGCAAGACAAAAAGAAAAAGAGCAUAUGCGAUGAAACAGAUCCUUGGAUUUUGAAUCUUGAGAGGUGACCUUGACUCCACAGCUCUCCUGAACAAUUACACUACAGAACAGUUGAUUGUUUCUUUGUUUGUGUGGCAAUAGAUUAUGGAAUUAAGAUAAAAGGAGCCUUCAGAACCUA